AUGAUAUCUUCCAUAAUCACCAAUGAUUUUUUUUCAUGUAAAAGAAUCAUUGGUGAUUAUGGAAGAUAUCAUUACAGAAUAUAGAAUCAUCCGCUACAGGCUCUGGGGGCAUUGGUUGGUGACCCACAUAGUACAAGCCAACUAUGCAGAGAUAAUAGUAAAAAUUCCAAGGUUCCAUGGCUAUGUUCUAUUGCUAUUGGAAACUCGUUUCCUACAAAAAAUA
rnacentral:misc_RNA from 1 species